AGCUCCUACAGACACAAAUGAGUUUACGGCUACAUAUUAGCACAACAAAACAACAUGUAGUAACAGGAUGAGGAUAAAAAGUUUGUAAAUCGGGUGACACGUCAGCAGAUAGGCUACCCGUUGCAACAAAAUAUCAAAUACAGGCCUAAAUAAAUAACUUCCUAAAUGCGGGAUAACAAGAUAUGGACUAGAACAUCUAAGAAAAGACACUCAUUUUAGGAACAUCCCGUAGUCAGGAUAAUCAAACUUGGCACUGAAGAUCAGUCUAAGGUCUCCUGCUCAGUUGUGGAGUUACAGGUCAGCAGAUCAAGUAGGGAGGGAGAUACGUACGAUGAUCAAAAUUGAUACAUAUUGCAUCAGUUGUAUAGGGAGGACAGGGUUUUCGCCAGCAGAGGGCGUGGUUCUGCCCUCUACUGAGGGCUCAUCCAGUUAGUUUCAUCAGUGAAUUUACAGUAAUCCAAUUUUUCUUUGCAUUUUUCAGUCUUCAGGCUUCAUGAGGCUGCAAGUGUCACCAUCGGUGUAUAUUUUGUUUAUGUCUAGUUUUCUAGUCUUACUCAGCUGCAUUUCAGUCACUAUUUUAUAUUGUUCUGCUGUCUGACAACAGAAAAAUGUGCUUUAUUGUGAAUUCAGCUGUUUCAAAAUGCAUUUUUGUAGAGCACAGAGAGCAGACGAAAAGCUAACAGAUGCAAACAGCUGCUGAGUUUUGACUGAACUGAAAAUAAAACAUGAAUAUAGUAACACCUAAGUCCUUGUUUAUUGGUUUAAAUUAAAGUUCCACAAAGCUCUCACCUUUUAAUAAACCAUCAAAGCUAAUGGUUCCAUUCCUCCAGCCCUCUGCUUCCAACUCCCUUUUUCCACCAGUCAGCUCUGCAUUGCCUUCACUAUACUGUUAUGCUAACUUACAUACUGUUUGAAUUUUACUGCUAGCUAUAUAUGGAGUAUGUUUAAUGUCAGAGCCGUACAUCAUAAGAGUAAAUUAUGAGUCAGUUUUCAAUGUUAGCUUAUACUUUGUCUGUGUCACAUAUCCUGUCAUGCAUGUAUCCAAAUGUGUGUUGUGUUUUCCUUGCUUUCCCACCACUCCCUCUUCUCCCAUCCCUCCCCCUUGCCCUCUUCUGUCCUUCUCAACCCGCCCGGCCAGCAGGCAGAUGGGUCCCCCCUAUAUAGAGCCGGGUUCUGCUCGAGGUUUCUUCCCUGUUAAAAGGGUGUUUUUCCUUGCCACUGUCGCCUUUGGGCUUGCUCUGGGGGUCAGGCAUUUGGGUUCUGUAAAGCGUCUUGAGACGAGUUGACUGUAAUUGACGCUAUAUAAAUAAAAUUGAAUUGAAUUGAA